rnacentral:rRNA from 1 species
CAGGACGAACGCUGGCGGCGUGCCUAACACAUGCAAGUCGAGCGAGGAGAUCCUCGGGAUGAUCCUAGCGGCGGACGGGUGAGUAACACGUGGGCAACCUGCCUCAUAGAGAGGAAUAGCCUUCCGAAAGGGAGAUUAAUACCUCAUAACAUUGCAGUUUCGCAUGGAACAGCAAUUAAAGGAGUAAUCCGCUAUGAGAUGGGCCCGCGGCGCAUUAGCUAGUUGGUGGGGUAACGGCUCACCAAGGCGACGAUGCGUAGCCGACCUGAGAGGGUGAUCGGCCACAUUGGGACUGAGACACGGCCCAGACUCCUACGGGAGGCAGCAGUGGGGAAUAUUGCACAAUGGGGGAAACCCUGAUGCAGCCAACGCCGCGUGAGUGAUGACGGCCUUCGGGUUGUAAAGCUCUGUCUUCAGGGACGAUAAUGACGGUACCUGAGGAGGAAGCCACGGCUAACUACGUGCCAGCAGCUGC